UACGGGGGGGGGCAAGCGUUGUUCGGAAUUACUGGGCGUAAAGGGCUCGUAGGCGGCCAACUAAGUCGGAUGUGAAAUCCCCCAGGCUCAACCUGGGGAACUGCAUCCGAUACUGGAUGGCUUGAAUUCGGGAGAGGGAUGCAGAAUUCCCAGGUGUAGCGGUGAAAUGCGUAGAUAUCAGGAGGAACACCGGCGGCGAAGGCGGCCCUCUGGAUCGUUGCUGACGCUGAGACGCGAAAGCGUGGGGAGCAAACAGG
rnacentral:rRNA from 1 species